rnacentral:rRNA from 1 species
UGGAAUUACAAAAAAAGGCUUUUUUAAUUUUAAAAAUUAAAAUUAUUUUUUUUUGUGAAGAAACAAAAAUUUAAAUUAAAGACAAGAAGACCCUAARAAUUUUUUUUUUUANUUAAAAUAAUAUNUUUAUUUUAAAAAUUUAAUUGGGGCGAUUAAUUAAUAUUAAAAACUUUAUUAACAAAAAAAANUGAUCCAUUAUUAAUGAUUAUUUGAUUAAAAUACUCUAGGGAUAACAGCGUAAUAAUUUUUGAUAGUUCUUAUAGAAAAAAUAGUUUGCGACCUCGAUGUUGGAUUAGGAUUCUUUUUUAAUGAAGAAGUUAAAAAAAGAAGUUUGUUCAACU